rnacentral:rRNA from 1 species
GGUGAACGCUGGCGGCGUGCCUAAUACAUGCAAGUCGAGCGAACGGACGAGAAGCUUGCUUCUCUGAUGUUAGCGGCGGACGGGUGAGUAACACGUGGAUAACCUACCUAUAAGACUGGGAUAACUUCGGGAAACCGGAGCUAAUACCGGAUGAUAUUUUGAACCGCAUGGUUCAAAAGUGAAAGACGGUCUUGCUGUCACUUAUAGAUGGAUCCGCGCUGCAUUAGCUAGUUGGUAAGGUAACGGCUUACCAAGGCAACGAUGCAUAGCCGACCUGAGAGGGUGAUCGGCCACACUGGAACUGAGACACGGUCCAGACUCCUACGGGAGGCAGCAGUAGGGAAUCUUCCGCAAUGGGCGAAAGCCUGACGGAGCAACGCCGCGUGAGUGAUGAAGGUCUUCGGAUCGUAAAACUCCGUUAUUAGGGAAGAACAUAUGUGUAAGUAACUGUGCACAUCUUGACGGUACCUAAUCAGAAAGCCACGGCUAACUACGUG